rnacentral:rRNA from 1 species
UACAGAGGGUGCGAGCGUUAAUCGGAAUUACUGGGCGUAAAGCGCAUGUAGGUGGGUACUUAAGUCGAUUGUGAAAGCCCUGGGCUCAACCUGGGAAUUGCAUUCGAUACUGAGUAUCUAGAGUAUAGUAGAGGGAAGUGGAAUUUCCGGUGUAGCGGUGAAAUGCGUAGAUAUCGGAAAGAACACCAGUGGCGAAGGCGGCUUCCUGGACUAAUACUGACACUGAGGUGCGAAAGCGUGGGGAGCAAACAGG